AGCGAACGCUGGCGGCAGGCUUAACACAUGCAAGUCGAACGCCCCGCAAGGGGAGUGGCAGACGGGUGAGUAACACGUGGGAACGUACCCUUUGGUUCGGAAUAACUUGGGGAAACUUGAGCUAAUACCGGAUACGUGCGAGAGCAGAAAGAUUUAUCGCCGAAGGAUCGGCCCGCGUCCGAUUAGCUAGUUGGUGAGGUAAUGGCUCACCAAGGCGACGAUCGGUAGCUGGUCUGAGAGGAUGACCAGCCACACUGGGACUGAGACACGGCCCAGACUCCUACGGGAGGCAGCAGUGGGGAAUAUUGGACAAUGGGCGCAAGCCUGAUCCAGCCAUGCCGCGUGAGUGAUGAAGGCCCUAGGGUUGUAAAGCUCUUUCGCCAGGGACGAUAAUGACGGUACCUGGAUAAGAAGCCCCGGCUAACUUCGUGCCAGCCGCCGCAGUAA
rnacentral:rRNA from 1 species